UAUCAGUCAUGCAUAGCAUAUCAAUAAGCGGAGGAAAAGAAACUAACAAGGAUUCCCUUAGUAACGGCGAGUGAAGCGGGAAGAGCUCAAAUUUGAAAUCUUCAAGGUUCUACCUUGACGAAUUGUAGUUUAUAGAAGUGUUUUCUGUUAGUAGAGUGGCAAAAGUUCUUUGGAAUAGGACAUCAUAGAGGGUGAGAAUCCCGUAUUUGGUCAUUCUUUCUAGCUUUGUGAUACACUUUCAACGAGUCGGAUUGUUUGGGAAUGCAGUCCAAAAUGGGUGGUAAAUUUCAUCUAAAGCUAAAUAUUGGCGAGAGAGCCGAUAGCGAACAAGUACCGUGAGGGAAAGAUGAAAAGAACUUUGAAAAGAGAGUUAAACAGUACGUGAAAUUGUCAAAAGGGAAGCGUUUGACACCAGUGUUGUUUUUCCGAAAAUCAAUUACGAAUGUUUUAUUUUUGAGGAAGUUAUGACUUCAUCGGCUUGCUUCUCUCUUUAUGAAACUUUCUUAAUGCACUUUUCGGUUAACAAGUCAACAUCAAUUUCUUUUGUUGUAAAAGGGUAUGAGGAAGGUGGCUUUCUUUUCGGAGAAAGUGUUUAUAGCCUUGUAGCCUCUGCAAUCGGAGAGAUUGAGGUCUGCAGCGUAGAUCCUUCGGGGUUAGAUACAGUUUGUGCUAAGUUAUAGCUUUUCAUAGACAACUUGUUGACUAUGUUUAGUCUUGUAGCUUACUCGCUGAUGCUAUUUACCUACGCUUAGGAUGUUGAUGUGAUACUGCGAGCA
rnacentral:rRNA from 1 species